rnacentral:rRNA from 1 species
GGUCUUUUGUUUUUAUAAAAGAUCUAGCCUGCUCAAUGAAUUUUAAAUAGCUGCAGUAUUUUGACUGUACAAAGGUAGCAUAAUCAUUUGUUUUUUAAUUGGAAACUUGUAUGAAUGGUUGGAUAAAAAAAUUACUUUCUUUAUUUUAUAUCAAAAAUUUUAUUUUUUAGUUAAAAAGCUAAUAUGUUUUUAUAGGACGAGAAGACCCUAUAGAACUUUACUAUAAAUCUUUUAGUAAAAAAUUAUAAUCUUUUAUUAUGGGUUUUAUAGUUUCAUUGGGGCGAUGGAAAAAAUUUUAUAACUUUUUCUUUUUUUAACAUUUUUAAUGUUUAAAUGAUCUUUUUUAAAAAAAUAAGUCUAAGUUACCUUAGGGAUAACAGCGUUAUUCUCUUGGAGAGUUCAUAUUGAUAAGAGAGUUUGCGACCUCGAUGUUGGAUUAAAGUUAGUUUUAGGGGCAGAAAAUUAAAAUCUUGGUCUGUUCGACCAUUAAAUCUUUACA